rnacentral:lncRNA from 1 species
UCCUCUGGCAUCUUCACAAAGACAGAGGGGUCGUCUUAGCUCUGCCUUGCCCCAAGCUGUGCUGCCGCCAUGGAUAAAUAGCCUGUAGUCUUCCUCUUCUUCAGCACUUUACCUACAGCAGUGCUUGCGCCUGGAGCAGAGCUCUGUUCUAUCCACAGAUUACUCACACCUGCUUCAGGUCAUUUUGCUUUUAAAUAUCCUUCAUGGUGUGCUUAGGGAAAGCAAGCCAAGGUGCUGCGCAUAACAACUCCAGCCUGUGGCUAAGUGAUCGUGUGCUGGAGCCAUCAGUCCAGGACUCUCUCGUGGUCCAGCUCCGACAUUUACAAAACGUCUGACUAUCUGGAAGCUCAAGAACCACAUUCUGCCAGUUGAAGGAAUCAGGCAAGAAUUUGAAGGUGGAAGAGAAGCAGAAGCAAUGAUAGCUUCCAUGACUACAGCAGACAGAUGGCUGGCCUUUCAAGGAUGCAGUGUUUUGCCAGUGGCUCCCAGCUGUUUUCCUGAAAAUCACCCACACCCAUACUGCAGAAGACUGAGGAUACUGCUGAGAAUUGUCUGUGAUUCCUGACUUUCUGAUUUCCUCAUCCUUACCUCUCCAGUCCCAUGUGUAAUGGUGAAAAUCUUUAUUUCUCCAUAUUAAACUGCCUUAAGCUUGAAGUACUGGAGAGGUUUGCUUCUCCCUGCCUCUCGUUCUCCUGGUUUGUGAAACCACCUUAGUGACUCACUUCUAUGUAAAUCUAUGCUCUUGUCCUCAUCACCAGCAAACCCUCAAUAAUAUCGAUGUAAAGCUACCCGGUUUCUGACCACAAUCUUCUGAAUUUCCAGCUGUGUUCUUCUGGUUACUAGAGCAAUGACUCCAACUGAUAAUUGAAGUAACCAGAAUUGACAAUCCACUGGUCUUAUCACAACUCACUUAUGUCCUCACAUUUUACUUAACCAGUUAAGAAUCCAUAGUCUGUUAUAAUUACUCACUUAACAUUUGCCCUCAGCUCUCUUACUCCUCUUUCACUUAAAAAUCCCAAGCCUGACUAAAUUUACCUCUCCUGCAGAAAAUCCAUUUUAAAUCAGAUCGAAUCCAUGACUAACAGCCUCAAAUAUAUUCUUAGUAUUACUGGUAAAUCCUAUCACAUUUCCCAAUUUAGUCUCCCAAUCUCCUGGAUUAUUAUUUUAUAAUUUCUACUCUUUCUUUUAAUCUGAUGUGGUUUCUUAUCUAUCCUCUCUCAGCAGAAGUUGUAGGUAAUCUGAAGAAAAUUGUUCCAAGUUCCUUCCAGCAUCCCUCACGCUGUAAUCUGGACGCCUACGUGAUUCCCUCUUCCUGUUACCAUGGAGGAACUGUUUAUAUUUUGAUCAAAGGCAAAACCUUUCACUUGUGCUCAAGAUGCCAACUCUCCCACUCGCUCAUGAACAUUGUUCCAGAAAGUUUAGUGUCUCUGUUCUGUGUCAUAAAGUUUCUCUCUCUGGUGAGCAUGAUGCAUAAGGAGAACAGCAUGAAACGUGAUAUAACUUCUCCCAUCUUACAAACACUUUUCUCUUUACCCCACGUCAACCUUACAGGUAUCACCCACUGCUCUGUUCUUAUUUACAACAAAACUCUUUGACAGUGUUGUCU